rnacentral:lncRNA from 1 species
UGGAUCUUGCACGAUCGGAGGUGUUGUGAAAACCGGCGGGGGUAGAAUGGGCGGAAAAUCUUCAACCGGUGGAGGCAAAAUAGGCGGCAACUCUUGAACCGGUGGAGGUAAAAUGGAAGGGAGGUCUGGAACCGGUGGAGGAAUAACUGGCGGGAAAUCUUCAACUGGUGGAGGCAGAAUCACGGGAAGUACUACUGGCGAUGGUGUUGAUUGGUCAAUUGGUGGCUCGGUUGUUUCAUCAGGUGGUGGAAACUCUGGAGUAGUUUGGUCAGGUGGUAUUAUCGGAGGUAGGUCUUGAACCGGUGGAGGAAUAACUGGCGGGAAAUCUUCAACUGGUGGAGGCAAAAUCUCGGGAAGGAUAGGUGGCGGUGGUGUUGACUGGUCAAUUGGUGGCUCGAUUGUUUCAUCAGGUGGUGGAAACUCUGGAGUUGUUUGGUCAGGCGGCGAUGGGAUCAGUGGAAAAUUGUCUACUGGUGGUGGUGGGAGAAGUGAAGGGGUAUCUGGUGCGGGUGGUGGAGUUCCAGUGGUUAUAUC